rnacentral:rRNA from 2 species
CUUCGGAAUAGCCCCGGGAAACUGGGAGUAAUACCGAAUGUGCCCUAUGGGGGAAAGAUUUAUCGGCAAAGGAUCGGCCCGCGUUGGAUUAGGUAGUUGGUGGGGUAAUGGCCUACCAAGCCGACGAUCCAUAGCUGGUUUGAGAGGAUGAUCAGCCACACUGGGACUGAGACACGGCCCAAACUCAUACGGGAGGCAGCAGUGGGGAAUCUUAGACAAUGGGCGCAAGCCUGAUCUAGCCAUGCCGCGUGAUCGAUGAAGGCCUUAGGGUUGUAAAGAUCUUUCAGGUGGGAAGAUAAUGACGGUACCACCAGAAGAAGCCCCGGCUAACUCCGUGCCAGCAGCCGCGGUAAUACGGAGGGGGCUAGCGUUAUUAGGAAUUACUGGGCGUAAAGCGCACGUAGGCGGAUCGGAAAGUCAGAGGUGAAAUCCCAGGGCUCAACCCUGGAACUGCCUUUGAAACUCCCGAUCUUGAGGUCGAGAGAGGUGAGUGGAAUUCCGAGUGUAGAGGUGAAAUUCGUAGAUAUUCGGAGGAACACCAGUGGCGAAGGCGGCUCACUGUCUCGAUACUGACGCUGAGGUGCGAAAGCGUGGGAGCAAACAGGAUUAGAUACCCUGGUAGUCCACGCCGUAAACGAUGAAUGCCAGUCGUCGGGCAGCAUGCUGUUCGGU